CAGACACACUAAUUGAGAUGGCCCGGUAACCGUUACCCCUAGCUUGCUUGCUGGAUCAGUGGCGAACGGGUGAGUAACACGUGAGCAACCUGCCCUGGACUCUGGGAUAAGCGCUGGAAACGGCGUCUAAUACUGGAUAUGAGCUCUCAUCGCAUGGUGGGGGUUGGAAAGAUUUUUCGGUCUGGGAUGGGCUCGCGGCCUAUCAGCUUGUUGGUGAGGUAAUGGCUCACCAAGGCGUCGACGGGUAGCCGGCCUGAGAGGGUGACCGGCCACACUGGGACUGAGACACGGCCCAGACUCCUACGGGAGGCAGCAGUGGGGAAUAUUGCACAAUGGGCGGAAGCCUGAUGCAGCAACGCCGCGUGAGGGAUGACGGCCUUCGGGUUGUAAACCUCUUUUAGCAGGGAAGAAGCGAGAGUGACGGUACCUGCAGAAAAAGCGCCGGCUAACUACGUGCCAGCAGCCGCGGUAAUACGUAGGGCGCAAGCGUUAUCCGGAAUUAUUGGGCGUAAAAGACUCGUAGCGGUUUGUCUCGUCUGCUGUGAAAUCCCGAGGCUCAACCUCGGGCCUGCAGUGGGUACGGCAGACUAUAUGCGGUAGGGGAGAUUGGAAUUCCUG
rnacentral:rRNA from 1 species